rnacentral:rRNA from 1 species
GACGGAGGGUGCUAGCGUUGUUCGGAAUCACUGGGCGUAAAGGGCGCGUAGGCGGCCUUGCAAGUCGGCUGGUGAAAGCCCGGGGCUCAACCCCGGAGGUGCGGCCGAGACUGCAGGGCUGGAGGCCGGAAGAGGAGGGUGGAAUACCCAGUGUAGAGGUGAAAUUCGUAGAUAUUGGGUGGAACACCGGUGGCGAAAGCGGCUCUCUGGUCCGGACCUGGCGCUGAGGCGCGAAAGCGUGGGGAGCAAACAGG